rnacentral:lncRNA from 1 species
UUAUUUUUGGUCUUUUUGUCCAUAUUUGUGAUUUCAUUAGUAUAGGGAAUUACUUGUGAGGGAACUCCCUCUACAAUGUAUAGUUUUUGUAGAAGCAUUAUUGAAGGCAAAUAGGAAUUGUCAAUAGAAUGUCCAAGUUGGAGUCAGGAAGAUCUAAAUUCAAAUCCUGCCUCAGAUGUUUACUAGCUCUGCGACCUCAGGCAAGUUGCUUAAUCUCUGUCUGACUGAGUUUCUUCACUAGCCAAAUGGAGAUAACAAAAGCCCUUGCCUCAUGAGAUUAUGGAUAUUCAAUGAGAUAAAGUAGCCUGUGAAUGUUAGCUGUUUUAUCUUACAGAUUUACCUGGGAGCACUGAGAGCUCAAGAAAUAACUUGCCCACAGCUACCGAGGUGGGACCUCCUCCCAGGUUUUCCUGAAUCUGAGUCCAGCUCUCUGCCCACUAUGUGCACUGCCUUCCAAGAUGUGUCAUUUCAUAGCAUUAGUUGAAACUAAUGAGAUCCAGAGAAAAUGGAAAAAUGAACAGAUAAGCCUUGAUGAAGAGGAAUGGCGGGUUACAAAAAUACAGAGAAUGACGUAUGGAAAAUUGGGUCCAGGUGUAGAAGAAAAUGGCCUCAGCUGUAAACUACCAUUUGUUGAGAUGCAUAAAUGAAACAAAAUAGAACAGUUUGAAACAUCUUCUCAGAACUAUGGAAGAGCAUUUGAAAAUGUGCAUCCUUGGUUCUCUUUAUUAAGAAGUUGUCGUCGUGAACACUGCUAUCGCCAAUCAACUCACUGUUCUUUGGUUGAUGCUUUGGAUGAGGGGUGGCAUGGCGGGGACUAAAAUCCAAUUCUCCCCACUCCUAGUCCAAUGUGCUUCCUUCUACCUCACGCAGCCUCCAUUGCAAGAGCAGGUGUUCAUCCAUGAGGACUGCAAUUCAUUCACCAGCCUAGAAAUUUGAUCCCCACAAAAAGUGUACAGCUGAGGUACCAAAAACUUUGGCAGUUGCCACUGCAAAUUGGGAGACCUACCCCAUGGAUUUGGGGUGGCCGGAGAAUGCACCAUCACUGCAACCUCACUAGAAAUAAAACACUUUUCAUUUGCUUAUUAACUUUAUUG